rnacentral:rRNA from 1 species
AGAGUUUGAUCCUGGCUCAGGAUGAACGCUAGCGACAGGCCUAACACAUGCAAGUCGAGGGGUAACAUGAGUGCUUGCACUUGAUGACGACCGGCGCACGGGUGCGUAACGCGUAUGCAACUUACCUUGUACUGGGGAAUAGCCCGUGGAAACGCGGAUUAAUGUCCCAUAACACUACAAUUUCGCAUGGAAAAGUGGUUAAAGUUCCGACGGUACAAGAUGGGCAUGCGUGACAUUAGCUAGUUGGUGAGGUAAGGGCUCACCAAGGCGACGAUGUCUAGGGGUUCUGAGAGGAAGGUCCCCCACACUGGUACUGAGACACGGACCAGACUCCUACGGGAGGCAGCAGUGAGGAAUAUUGGUCAAUGGGCGCAAGCCUGAACCAGCCAUGUCGCGUGCAGGAAGACUGCCCUACGGGUUGUAAACUGCUUUUGUAUGGGAAGAAACGUUGGUACGUGUACCAAUUUGCCGGUACCAUACGAAUAAGGAUCGGCUAACUCCGUGCCAGCAGCCGCGGUAAUACGGAGGAUCCAAGCGUUAUCCGGAUUUAUUGGGUUUAAAGGGUGCGUAGGCGGUAGAAUAAGUCAGUGGUGAAAUCCUGCAGCUUAACUGUAGAACUGCCAUUGAUACUGUUUUACUUGAGUGUAAUUGAGGUAGGCGGAAUGUGUUGUGUAGCGGUGAAAUGCAUAGAUAUAACACAGAACACCGAUUGCGAAGGCAGCUUACUAAGUUAUAACUGACGCUGAUGCACGAAAGCGUGGGUAGCGAACAGGAUUAGAUACCCUGGUAGUCCACGCCGUAAACGAUGAUUACUCGCUGUAGGCAAUACACCGUCUGUGGCUGAGCGAAAGCAUUAAGUAAUCCACCUGGGGAGUACGUUGGCAACAAUGAAACUCAAAGGAAUUGACGGGGGCCCGCACAAGCGGAGGAACAUGUGGUUUAAUUCGAUGAUACGCGAGGAACCUUACCUGGACUUAAAUGUAGAUUGACGUAUCCAGAGAUGGAUAUUUCUUCGGACAAUUUACAAGGUGCUGCAUGGUUGUCGUCAGCUCGUGCCGUGAGGUGUCGGGUUAAGUCCGAUAACGAGCGCAACCCCUGUUGUUAGUUACCAGCGCAUCAUGGUGGGGACUCUAACAAGACUGCCGGUGUAAACCGCGAGGAAGGUGGGGAUGACGUCAAAUCAGCACGGCCCUUAUGUCCAGGGCUACACACGUGUUACAAUGGCCGGUACAGAGGGCAGCUACUUGGUGACAAGAUGCGAAUCUCAAAAACCGGUCUCAGUUCGGAUCGAAGUCUGCAACCCGACUUCGUGAAGCUGGAUUCGCUAGUAAUCGCAUAUCAGCCAUGAUGCGGUGAAUACGUUCCCGGGCCUUGUACACACCGCC